GAUGAACGCUGGCGGCGUGCUUAACACAUGCAAGUCGAACGAUGAAGCCCAGCUUGCUGGGUGGAUUAGUGGCGAACGGGUGAGUAACACGUGAGUAACCUGCCCUUGACUCUGGGAUAAGCCCGGGAAACUGGGUCUAAUACCGGAUAGGAGCGCCUGUCGCAUGACGGGUGUUGGAAAGAUUUUUCGGUCAUGGAUGGACUCGCGGCCUAUCAGCUUGUUGGUGGGUAAUGGCUCACCAAGGCGACGACGGGUAGCCGGCCUGAGAGGGUGACCGGCCACACUGGGACUGAGACACGGCCCAGACUCCUACGGGAGGCAGCAGUGGGGAAUAUUGCACAAUGGGCGGAAGCCUGAUGCAGCGACGCCGCGUGAGGGAUGACGGCCUUUCGGGUUGUAAACCUCUUUCCAG
rnacentral:rRNA from 1 species